UACUAACCUACAGUGGUCCAAAUUAUUAGGUUCCAUCUGACAUCAUAAUAGUGUAAGCAAUCAAAAAUUAAUUAUUACUAAGUAGAUCUGCUUUUUAACAAUUACUAGUUAAAAAGAAACAGGCCAAGUAUAUAAUGAUGAAUAUAUAAUCAUGUUUAGGAAACCAACCUUCACUCUAUUUUGUGAAUCACAUAUAUAUUGUUACAUUUUCUUGUUAGGUAGAGGAUUACUGAAAUACAAUCCAAAAACCCAUAUACAUAUAUUCCAAAUGUAGCUUUUGAUUUUUAUAGUCUUGUUUUUAGGUUGACCUUUUGAGUCAGUCACUAUUGAAGAGGAUGGCAAGUUCUUGUGUUUUAUAAAGAAGGUUAAUUGUGUUAAAUAUUAAAUACUACAAAGUUGUCCCAGUCAUUUUAAGAUAAUUGAGGUCUUUAAGAAAUACAAAUAAAGAUUUGAAGGUCAGAGUAAAGAAACACUGAAGUAAGUACAAUUUUUUCCCCCACAGUCAAGGAUUUACAUGAGUCUUUAGUAGCCACUUCCAGAGAAAAUGAUAGCUCUUAUCUCAUCAGUUGAGGUAUACAUGCCAUUUAUGUUAAGUCAUUGACAUUGUAAUUGCUUUUCAUAGGUCCUAUUGAUAUUACUGUAAUACCUGUUUUCUUUCUCCAUCCCCUCUUCUCCUUUCCAGGAAGAUCAAUAUUGUAAAUCACUACUUUUCUAACAACGACAGGCACAGACUGCCCAGCACUUUUCCCCUUUAUUCACUCUCUGAGGUGUGUUGCGUAUUUUCAUAAGCUUCUGUACCAGAAUUGGACACUGAAAGGAGCAGGCUUCAGAUGAGUGCAUCUCCUUCUUCCUUCCUUUUCACCGAGACCACCUUGCCAAAACAGCAUCUGCUACCAAAGGGACCCUCCAAGGAGUUUCUGCCUCAUUAUCAGAGCUUCUGGUGCUACUAGAAGGAAAGUUAGAAAAUAAAGAGCAAAAAGGAAACCUUGAAACAAUCUCUAAUAACUGCUAUUUUAAACUGGAACUUCAAAACUGGGUCUGUGGUUGGGUUUCAGAAGAUCCGUGAACCCCUGACGCUAAAGCAAAAAA
rnacentral:lncRNA from 12 species